rnacentral:sRNA from 1 species
GCCAGGCAUAGUGGUGCUCGCCUGUGAUCCCGGCAACGUGGGAGGCUGAGGCAGGAGGAUCGCAAGUUCAAAGCCAGCCUCAGCAAUUUAGUGAGGCCCUAAGCAACUCAGUGAGACCCUGUCUCUA